CAAUAGCGUAUAUUAAAGUUGUUGCGGUUAAAAAGCUCGUAGUUGGAUCUCUGCUGAGGACGACCGGUCCGCCCUUCGGGUGAGUAUCUGGUUUGGCCUUGGCAUCUUCUUGGUGAACGUAUCUGCACUUGACUGUGUGGUGCGGUACCCAGGACUUUUACUUUGAGGAAAUUAGAGUGUUUCAAGCAGGCAUACGCCUUGAAUACAUUAGCAUGGAAUAAUAAGAUAGGACCUCGGUUCUAUUUUGUUGGUUUCUAGAGCUGAGGUAAUGAUUAAUAGGGAUAGUUGGGGGCAUUCGUAUUUAACUGUCAGGGGUGAAAUUCUUGGAUUUGUUAAAGACGGACUACUGCGAAAGCAUUUGCCAAGGAUGUUUUCAUUG
rnacentral:rRNA from 1 species